AUACGUAGGUGGCAAGCGUUGUCCGGAUUUACUGGGUGUAAAGGGCGCGUAGGCGGGCAGGCAAGUCAGAUGUGAAAUCUCCGGGCUCAACCCGGUAAUUGCAUUUGAAACUGCAGGUCUUGAGUAUCGGAGAGGCAAGCGGAAUUCCUAGUGUAGCGGUGAAAUGCGUAGAUAUUAGGAGGAACACCAGUGGCGAAGGCGGCUUGCUGGACGACAACUGACGCUGAGGCGCGAAAGCGGGGGGAGCAAACAGGAUUAGAUACCCUGGUAGUCCACGCCCUAAACGAUGAAUACUAGGUGUGGGGGGACUGACCCCUUCCGUGCCGGAGUAAACACAAUAAGUAUUCCACCUGGGGAGUACGACCGCAAGGUUGAAACUCAAAGGAAUUGGCGGGG
rnacentral:rRNA from 1 species